GACGAACGCUGGCGGCGUGCUUAACACAUGCAAGUCGAACGGAAAGGCCCUGCUUGCAGGGUACUCGAGUGGCGAACGGGUGAGUAACACGUUGGUGAUCUGCCCUUCACUUCGGGAUAAGCCUGGGAAACUGGGUCUAAUACCGGCUAGGAGCCAUUUUUAGUUUGAUGGUUGGAUAGUUUUUUCGGUUUAGGAUGAGAGCGCGGCCUAUCAGCUUGUUGGUGGGGUAAUGGCCUACUAAGGCGGCGACGGGUAGCCGGCCUGAGAGGGUGGACGGCCAAAGUGGGACUGAGAUACGGCCAAGACACCUACGGGAGGAAGUAGUGGGGAAAAUUGCACAAUGGGAGCAAGCCUGAUGCAGCGAGGCCGCGUGGGGGAUGACGGCCUUAGGGUUGUAAACUCCUUUCGCAAGGGACGAAGCAUUUUGUGACGCGACCUAGAUAAGAAGCACCGGCUAACUACGUG
rnacentral:rRNA from 1 species